rnacentral:rRNA from 1 species
CAGCAGCCGCGGGAACACGAAGGGGGCUAGCGUUGCUCGGAAUCACUGGGCGUAAAGGGUGCGUAGGCGGGUCUUUAAGUCAGAGGUGAAAUCCUGGAGCUCAACUCCAGAACUGCCUUUGAUACUGGAGAUCUCGAGUUCGGGAGAGGUGAGUGGAACUGCGAGUGUAGAGGUGAAAUUCGUAGAUAUUCGCAAGAACACCAGUGGCGAAGGCGGCUCACUGGCCCGAUACUGACGCUGAGGCACGAAAGCGUGGGGAGCAAACAGGAUUAGAUACCCCAGUAGUCCCUGUCUCUUAUAC